rnacentral:rRNA from 1 species
CGUACACUCCUGCGGGAGGCAGCAGUGGGGAAUAUUGCACAAUGGGCGCAAGCCUGAUGCAGCCAUGCCGCGUGUAUGAAGAAGGCCUUCGGGUUGUAAAGUACUUUCAGCGGGGAGGAAGGCGAUAAGGUUAAUAACCUUGUUGAUUGACGUUACCCGCAGAAGAAGCACCGGCUAACUCCGUGCCAGCAGCCGCGGUAAUACGGAGGGUGCAAGCGUUAAUCGGAAUUACUGGGCGUAAAGCGCACGCAGGCGGUCUGUCAAGUCGGAUGUGAAAUCCCCGGGCUCAACCUGGGAACUGCAUUCGAAACUGGCAGGCUAGAGUCUUGUAGAGGGGGGUAGAAUUCCAGGUGUAGCGGUGAAAUGCGUAGAGAUCUGGAGGAAUACCGGUGGCGAAGGCGGCCCCCUGGACAAAGACUGACGCUCAGGUGCGAAAGCGUGGGGAGCAAACAGGAUUAGAAACCCGUGUAGUCC